AAACUCAUUCAGGGUCUUGGAGCUCUGGAGGACAGUGUCUUUUCCUGAGAGGAAAAGAAAGUAAUGAUCAGAGGAUUCAUAUUCUAAGCAUUAAACUUACCUGUUGAGAGAGUAGGGUUUAAAAACUGUUUAUUAUGGCAGGAAUAAGAGAGAAACUACUACAGUACUUCAGAUCAGGGUGAUAAGGAUAUGUUAGUGAUAAAGUUUGAAGGUAAAUGUAUUGGCAGCCUAAGAAAAAGUGAAAAAUGUAGACAUAAAGCAGAAUAAGAACCUGGCUAAAUUGUAAUUUCAGAAAAGUAUUAAAAUGAAAAUUAACAGCCCUGUUACCAAAAUUUUCUCUCUUAACUAAAGGUUUUUAAAAUUCACUUGUGAAUACUGGGAGAGAAAACCUGCAUAGCUAAUCUUGAGUCAACACAUGUAUUGAUAUGACAUGAUAAGGAGUCUAAUUUUAUCAGAUAUGAAAAGAGACAUAAAGUGUUUCUGUUAUUGUAAGAGGAGGAAUUCACGUGGUAUAGUUGAUAGUCUACAAUUUUCUCUAACAUAAACUACAAUAAAAUGGAUUCACUCAGACUUGGAGACUAGUAAAGUAGGUAAGAGACAGUUUCUAGACAGUUCCACACUAGGAAAGAUAUGGUACCAGCAAGAUUGAAAAACAGGAAAAGAAAAGGCUCAAGAGACAAGAAAUGGGUGAAUCAAUUAGUGUGCUGACUGGUUGUAUGUAUAUGACUUAGAAUAAACAAUGAAGACCUCAACAUUUCUUCCAGAAUGGAUAUUGACAUAUUUUAUUGAUGACACGGUGUAUAGUAAUAGGUGAAGACUCAGGUUGGAGUUUGGGUGAUAAGGUGGACAGCAGCAAAGAAUGACUUUGGUUUUGAAUAUUAUGGGAGGACAACUGCUAAAGAUGCACAGAGGAUUUUUGGAUGGACUCUUUCUUUGCUGAUAAAGAGCGACAAAUUGAUAGUAACUCUUCUAUCUACUUGCCCAUCUAUAUUGUUUUUUUUUCCUUCCUUUUUCUUGCUGUUUUCCUUUCACUCAUGUCAAGUUUAGAGAGUAUAAAUAAAACAUGAAUUUCAUAACAUUUCCUUUUUUUUGCAUGUGUCAGAAACUAUUCCUAGAAGAAAAACUUUAUAAAUUUCCUGGAUAACAGGCACAUAUUACUGCAAUAUCCCCAGUGCCAUGCCAUGCUAAUUAAUCACCAUACUUGAGGUUGCAUAGUGAAAUUAGAUAGUUACUAUUAACAAGAAAAAUAUAACUUUUGCUUUUCUGUAUUUCUUUUUCAACAGUAAUUAGGUAACAAUAUCAAAAGCCAUCUGCAAAAAGGAUAUUACCAAGAAACUCAAUGUUAACUGGCCUGAUGCAAAAAUGAAACCAUCUGUUUUUCUCUCCUUUUGUUAUGGUGCACAGCAUUCAGUGUAACAAACCAAAAUAAACCCUAUGACUGAAAGCAUGCAACCCUGUAUUUGUUGAUUUGGAAGUAAGCAGCCUUGCCUCUUUUUAACCAGGGAGACUAUAACAUUCUAGCUGAAAUAUUCCACUGUCACUGCCAC
rnacentral:lncRNA from 1 species